rnacentral:rRNA from 1 species
UGGGGAAUAUUGCACAAUGGGCGCAAGCCUGAUGCAGCCAUGCCGCGUGUGUGAAGAAGGCCUUCGGGUUGUAAAGCACUUUCAGCGGGGAGGAAGGCGAUAAGGUUAAUAACCUCAUCGAUUGACGUUACCCGCAGAAGAAGCACCGGCUAACUCCGUGCCAGCAGCCGCGGUAAUACGGAGGGUGCAAGCGUUAAUCGGAAUUACUGGGCGUAAAGCGCACGCAGGCGGUCUGUCAAGUCGGAUGUGAAAUCCCCGGGCUCAACCUGGGAACUGCAUUCGAAACAGGCAGGCUAGAGUCGUGUAGAGGGGGGUAGAAUUCCAGGUGUAGCGGUGAAAUGCGUAGAGAUCUGGAGGAAUACCGGUGGCGAAGGCGGCCCCCUGGACAAAGACUGACGCUCAGGUGCGAAAGCGUGGGGAGCAAACAGG